rnacentral:tRNA from 1 species
GGCGAUAUGGCCAAGUGGUAAGGCAGGGGAUUGCAAAUCCUCGAUCCCCAGUUCGAUUCUGGGUGUCGCCU